AAGGAGUCUAACAAAUAUGCGAGUAUGAAAGUGUAAAAACUUAUGGAUGCAAAAUGAAAGUAAAGAUAAGUUUGACUUAUUGAAGUGGGAUUUAGCAAGAGAUUUCUUUUGUUAAAGCACCAUUGACCGAUCUGAAUAUUUUUUUGAAAGAUUUGAGUAAGAGCAUAUCUGUUGGGACACGAAAGAUGGUGAGCUAUGGGUGAGAAGAGUGAAGUCAGAGGAAACUCUGAUGGAGGCUUGGAGCGGUACUGACGUGCAAAUCGUUCGUCAUACUUGAGUAUAGGGGAGAAAGACUAAGCGAACCAUCUAGUAGCUGGUUCCCU
rnacentral:sRNA from 1 species